rnacentral:misc_RNA from 1 species
UACGUAGGGGGCGAGCGUUGUCCGGAUUUAUUGGGCGUAAAGGGCGUGUAGGCGGUCUGGUAAGUCGGGGGUGAAAACCCAGAGCUCAACUCUGGGACUGCCUCCGAAACUGCUGGACUUGAGUGCUCUAGAGGGCAGUGGAAUUGCCGGUGUAGCAGUGAAAUGCGUAGAGAUCGGCAGGAACACCAGUGGCGAAGGCGACUGCCUGGGGAGUAACUGACGCUGAGGCGCGAAAGCUGGGGGAGCAAACGGG